AGUGAACGCUGGCGGUAGGCCUAACACAUGCAAGUCGAACGGCAGCACAGUAAGAGCUUGCUCUUACGGGUGGCGAGUGGCGGACGGGUGAGGAAUACAUCGGAAUCUACUUUUUCGUGGGGGAUAACGUAGGGAAACUUACGCUAAUACCGCAUACGACCUACGGGUGAAAGCAGGGGAUCUUCGGACCUUGCGCGAUUGAAUGAGCCGAUGUCGGAUUAGCUAGUUGGCGGGGUAAAGGCCCACCAAGGCGACGAUCCGUAGCUGGUCUGAGAGGAUGAUCGGCCACACUGGAACUGAGACACGGUCCAGACUCCUACGGGAGGCAGCAGUGGGGAAUAUGAGGCAAUGGGCGAAAGCCUGACCCAGCCAUACGGCGUGAGUGAAGAAGGCCUUCGGUUUGUAAACCCCUUUUUUUGGGAAAGAAAAACUGCGGAUUUAUCCCCCGCUGUCCUGACGGUACCCAAAAAAAAAGCCCCGGCUAACUUCGUG
rnacentral:rRNA from 1 species